UAAACGCCGGGCGUGGGGAGGUUGGCCUAGGGGUGGGUGGGGGUGUUAGCGAAGGCUAGACGGCGGCUUUGGGAUCUGGGGCGGCGGCGGCGGCUACCCUAGGGGUUGCCACCGGGGGCGCGGGGAGGAGCGGCGGCGGGGCCUGCCGCCGCUCCGCCUGCGGUUGCCGCUGGUGCUCGCCGUCGUCGUCGAGGUCUAGCAGGGGAGGAGGCGGCAGGGGCGGGGGAGGUUCGGCGGGCUCGGCCGCGGCUGCCACCGGUGGGUGUGCGCGUGGUAGCCGUAGUAGGUGGGCGGCGGGCUGUAGGCGCAGUAGUAGCUCUUCUGCCGGUGGAAGCAGCGGUUCUUGCCCGGGCUCAAGCUCGCGGCGUAGCAGCGGGUGUUGGUCCCGUUGCGGUUCAAGUUGAAGGAGGUCGGGAGGCUGGGGAUGGUGCGGAUGAUGGUCGUGGCGCAGAGGCUCUAGCGGCUGCGCGGCGGGCGGGGGCUGCGGCGGCGGUGGCUGGGGCUGCGAGAGGGGAGCCUGCUGAGGCGGCGGCUGCCGUUCGGGCGGCUGCUGGUGAGGCGCGGGAAGGCGCAGCCGGGCGGGCGGUUCCACGACCACGGCGGGUUCCGGCUCGAGAUGUGGCACGCGGAGGGGCUCCCGUAGUGGUGGCUCCUCCACCUGUAGCAGUUCGACUGCCGCGUCAAGCAGCGGGCGUUGCCGUUCUGGAAGGACCGGUCGGAGCGCAGGGCCCUCUCGUGGUUGGGCGUCAAGUUGAAGGAGGCGGGGUGGGUGUCGUACAAGGGGAAGAAGUGGCGCGAGCGGCUGUAGAUGAGCUCCCAGUACUCCGGACUGCUCCCGCACCGGCGGGAGUACUCCCUCGAGUUCCUCCCCUGGUUCCUGGAGUGGUGCCACGACCUCGCGACGGAGUUGGCCGAGCUCACCCUGGCCAGCGUCCUCGUCCGGUUCGUCGUCCGCCUCCUACUCCAACUCUACCUCUCCUACGUCUACAGGUACUAACUAACCGUACUAAAGCAGCAACAGCUCUGAUAACUCAAACUACUACUACUCAAACUCCCGGAGGGACACGGCGGAUGCGACCUUCUCGACUUCGCGGCGUUCUCCUACCUCUGGAACCCUCUCCUCCUCGGGUACCUUAACCGACUUGGUCGGUUCCUACAACUCUACCUCUACCUACUCCUCCUCUACGUCGAACAGCUCCUUCCUUACUUCCGUCGUUCCGAGCUACUCUUACUACCUCCUCGUGUUCAAUUCCACCGGUCAUUACUACUACUCGGCGGAUACUCUUAACAGUUUUUGAUGUUCUCCGGACUCCUCUCCUAGGGACGCCUCUCCCUGGGCUGGUUCCAACAACAGAGUGGUUAUUGGCCCCUCGAGUAAGGCUAGUCGCUCUACCUCCUUGUGUACGCGUAGAGCGAGUAACUGGGGUUCAUGUUCCUUGUCUUUCUUUCUUACGACCGGUUCUAAUUCCUUUGGUGAGAACGAGGACUACUACUCUAGAGGGCAUUGUAAUAACCAGAACGUGCAUGCUCCGGUCUAUAAAAACCUUGGUGGCUCCUUCUCCAAAGAUUACGGCAGUUCCGUCUUUAACUUUUCUUUUUCCUACUCGUCGGUUUCGUCCAAUAAACCCUACCAGUAAGACCCUCGUAGCCAACCUGUCGGUGAGUCCGUUACAGACAGCCACCUCUUCUUGUCCCACUACGGAGCUUACGAGGUCCAGGUCGAGGUGAAGGGGCCGGACCGUACGGCAACGGGGCCGGAGGGGUUGGUGAAAGGAACCAGUUACAAGGGGCUAAAUGUGGGUUAGGUUACGGAAUAGUACAGGUUGGGGGAGUAGUAUACGUUCCUCAAGGUGGUGUAUACUACAGGUUGUACGUGGUUGGAGACGGUGGUCCAGUUGUUGUGUACUAAUCCUACAGUCCAGGGUACCCAGUAUACGGUUCAUUAUAGGGAGGCGGCGGAGGUCCGGUAUUAUGAGUCAAGUACGGACCAGGUGGUGCCAAACGAUACGGGGGAGGGGGCGUGUACGUCUUGUACGGUUGGUACCAGUUGGGGUAGCCUUAGGGGGUCGGAGGUGGUGGAAACGGAGGUGUUGGUGGACGGCUCCUCGUCGGUGGAGAUGGACUCCUUGGUCUUGGAUUCUCCGUCUCUUGUCUACUACGAAGAGACUAGGGUCGACUCGUCAAGGAGCGAGUCGUAGGCCCGGGACGAGCGUAGAGUCAAAGACACGGGUUGGAACUACUUCCUUUGAACGCUCCGGUUCAAAACCUUUAGAGACAGGUUAGUGAGAGUCUGUGUCAGCCGUCAGACUUCCUCGUUUAACGACCUCUCGACGUCGAAGGACGAUUAUUCGUCUUCGACUCACACUCCUGAUCAAAGGAGUUCCUGUUAGAAAGAGAACGAAUAAUGUUACACCCGGGACCCCACCAGUAGUUAGAUCGAGAGUCCCUCGCACCACCCUCUUUCUUUACUCGAAAGGAAUAGAGUCAAAUGAGCGUCCUGUUACGAAUGUUGGUUCGAAGUCACCGAUAGUACCUCUAAUAAAAACAACCAACGACGGAAGACCUAAGAACAUAGUACACAAAAUAUUCAGGUCGUGAUACUAGACGUGAUACAUCAAAAGUCUGAACAGAUACAAAGAAUUAUACCGAUGUAUAACAACCUCUACAAAUAGGAAAAAUAAUGAAAACACAAUGAGUUCUUUCGAUUGCUACGGACGGACGGAUAAACUAUCACGAGGUCUCAAGUCCACGGACGUAACCGAGAUGGCAAACGGAAGAUUCUACGAAGACGUGACGUAGUCAUUUCCAUGACAGAGAAGUUCACGAAUAAUACUUUCCAGACACCUUUCGGAUAAUAACGUCAAGAUUAAUUUAAUCUCAACACCCACUACCGACUACAAGAUUUAGAACAACUGUCUUAUCGUACCGUAGAUAGUCUCUAGUGACGACGACCUUAGAACAUUGUUCAUAUCAUCAUGUAACGAAUAACACUUGAAUUAAUACGUACGUCACUCAUCACUACUCAUACCAACGAGAACGACGAUUUUUCCGUCCGACACGGGAAACAACACCAACGACCGCCAGUAUUCAACUAAAGACAUCCGAUACGUAAAUUAAAGUACAAAUAACACCACAAAAGUAGGAUUCGCUGAUUUUUUAGUGUUAUCUACGAAAGAUCAAUAAGACUUCCGCCAUACACAAACCAGUUGUAUCCGUAUAUACCAACAAAACCAAGACUAUUGCUAACACAAGAAAAAAAUUACAACAAUUGGCUGAACAAGGUAACAGUUAUUAUUUUACUUCCCGUUCUCAUCCGUGUUAAUUCAAUACCACGCUGUGACAAACGGUACAGUGUCUUCAUAGUAAUACUAACACGGAGUUGGUUUGUAAAAGUGAAGUACUUUGGAAAGGGUAGGCCGGUAGGGAACAUUUAUAGACUCAACCACCAACAGACAAACGGGGAAUGGGUAGGGGUAAAUUUUAAGUUUGGGUUGUUGGAAAAGUACGGUUUCGAGUAGCUUAGAACUCUCGUUUUCGAUGGUCCCAAGCAGGUCAGAUAUCUGGAACGUGGUUAAAUGGGACGUAAAUUAUCGUCAAGGAAACAGGUAUCAGAUAUUAACCAUCUACUUGCUCGGCCUCACUUAUAGUAAACUCAUUUGAUACAAGAUACAUCCAAACAAAAACGAAGCCAUCACAUCGUGUACGUAGAAUUGAUCAAGUUUAUGUUUUACACAACACUUGAACCAGUAAAUGAUAACAGAUGUUUAUAAGACUAGUAGAGUCAACGGUCCUACGCUGAAACUAUGAACGUCCAAAUAUCAGACUCAACCGAAUAUAUAGAGUUUCACAUACCACACUCGUAUAGUUGAUCUAAUCCGUGUUGACCUCUUUCUAAUCUGUGUAGUACAAACGAGAAGAAAAAAGAUCAAAUUAAUUACGUAACUUCUCUUUCUAAAAGAAUCGUAUAGUUUAUCUAAUCUGUUUUGACCUAAAACAUAAGAGGUCAACAACAAUUGAUUCGGGACGAGACCACUCAUUAUUAUUGGGACACCCGAAAUACUGACGACUCGAAAGUCAAUUUAGUGGUCAUCUUCCGAAAUACGGAACGCUCGAUACUCAUAGGGAAAAUAAGUAUUACAUCUACGAAUAUUUCUCAACAAAUGAUAAGCUAAAAAAGUGUGUAGUUGUGUCAUAAUACAUACUGCAAAUAAAGACAAAAAAAAAAUUUAGACAAAGAGACAAAGACGGACAAAAAUAAAGAAUAUCAUCCUUGAAUUAUAGGAAAUGAAGUGUCGACACGGGCAACAUAGGUGUGUUUCGGUCAAGUCACCAAAAUGACUUGCUCGAAUUUAAUGGUAAAGAGGCUAACGUACUCGAACGUUUAUGAGUACUUCAGUACUACUACCGCCAUGAGAAGAUUUACAACAGCUAGGUUUCAGACUGAUGUAC
rnacentral:rRNA from 1 species